GGCUUUUUGUUUUAAUAAUAUAUUAAGUCCAACCUGCCCAGUGAUAUUUAACGGCCGCGGUAUUUUGACCGUGCAAAGGUAGCAUAAUCAUUUGCCUUAUAAUUGAAGGCUAGUAUGAAUGGUUUUAUGAAGGUAAAACUGUCUCUAUUUUACUUCACAGAACUUAACAUUUAAGUGAAGAGGCCUAAAUACUAUUAUAGGACGAGAAGACCCUGUCGAGCUAUUAAAAAAAAUAGAAUUAAAUAUAUUUAUAAAUAAAAAGCUACAUUAAUUUUUAGUUGGGGCGACUGGGGAACAAGAAACUUCCCUUAAAUAAUAUAAUAAUAUUUUUUAAUCCAGCAAUUAAAGCUGAAAAAAAAAUUAGUUACCGCAGGGAUAACAGCAUAAUCUUUCUCAAGAGAUCUAAUCGAAAGAAGGGAUUAUGACCUCGAUGUUGGACUAGGAUACCUUAAAGAUGCAGAAGUCUUUAAUAGUUGGUCUGUUCGACCAUAAAAAUCCU
rnacentral:rRNA from 1 species